rnacentral:misc_RNA from 1 species
AAGUCGUAACAAGUAGGUGAACCUGCGGAAGGAUCAUUAACACGUAUCCAAACGUUAAACUCCCCUGUGAACCUUCAGUGUACUCGCACGUCCGUUAGAAAAAGCAGCAAUCCCUGGUAAAUCAUCGCCGAACAGUUUUCGAUUCAGGGACGUCUGCAAGGAGCGUGCAUGUUGUGCGAAGCAAGUGGCCUGGCAUCCCAAGCAGUUAGUGUCUAAAAGUGUCAUUAACUGUGUAAGGAUGACGCAGUCACGAUCGUUGGACACUGGGCGCAAGCCCCCUAUAACACAUGCUGCUAAUCCCGCGAUAAUACGCAGUCGACCAAAAACCGAACAACUGUUAACAAUGGAUAUCUUUGUUCUC